UUAAUAUCACAGUUAUAUCGCAUGCUUCAUUGUACAAGAUCCUUUUUUCACAUUUAAUUUUGUUACUGACCGCUAGAAACAUGGGAUCUAUCAAGCAAGAAAAGGUGGAGAUGAGGAGGUUGUGGAUGAAGAUGCUCCUGUAGAGUGAAGAGUAUGAAGCAGAAGAUGCGGCCCAGAUUUAAUGAGGCAAUGGGGGAAGAGGUUGUGGCUGGGGCCAGUACCAUGGCUAGAGUCCGGACAUCCGCCAUCCAAUCAGCACUCCCCCCCCCUCUCGAAUCACAUUGGUAAGCAUCCAGUGGUGUCAAAGCCGCCUCCUGGUCUGCUUAUGCCAGAUGACACAAAAGGAUUUUCCAUGGGGCGAGGGAAACUCCAGGUCAGC